AGAGAGUGACGGGGCUAACGGCGGAGGUU
rnacentral:sRNA from 1 species